AGAGAGAGACAGAGACAGAGAGACACUGGAUUUUUCCUAAAAAAUCUCAAGAAAGAUAUUUCCUCCAAAAGAAAUACUUUGCACAGAAAUAAGACCAUUUCAGAUCACACAAGAAUAAUAGUGUACAUUUAUUGAACACUUACUAAAUACUGUAUCCUAUACAUUUUCUCUAAAGAAGAAUCCCCUAGUUUUCUACAUGGAAUGGGGAUAAGCCUGGCUUGCAGGUAAGUCUCAAAGAAUUUCUGAAAAAUGUAUGUUCAACCUUAUUAUGAAUGUAUUAUACCAUUUAAUGCUCAAAACAACCCUAUUUAGUACAAGUAUAAUAUUAAAUGUAUUUCACAUACUUUUUCACUUCCUUUCUGGAUUACUCAUGACUACCUUUUAGGUCACAAUCAAGGUUAAGGUAGAAGCAUCUGCCCCAAGGACCCCAUCUAGCAUAUCCACCAGGGUCAUGUAGAAUUCCUGCUGAAUUCACCUUUGGAUUGCUGCAGACAUUUCUGCAAUUAAAAAGUAAUAGUUCUUCCUGUUUGAAUAGCAUUCCUUUAUAUUUACCAAAUGCUUUCCUGUACAAAAUUUUAUAUAACCCUGAACAAACCUCUGUGAAGCAGAUAUUAAUCUCAUUUGCAAAUGAGAAGCAUAAGAACUAUGUGAGUUAAAUGACUUGGUUAAGGUCACCAAGUGGUAACACUAGGAUUUGAACCACAGUUAUCCAAUUUGAUGUCCACUUUUCCUACAAACCACCCCAAAUUUAGGGUUGUCAACCAACAACCCGUAUAUUAUGCUCACAGACCCUGUGGGUCAGGAAUUUGGAAAGGUCAUGGUGGCAACUCUUUCUGCUCCAUGUUGUCUGGAGCCUCUUCUGGGAAAACUGAAAGGGUGGGGUGACUUGACAACUGGAAGCUAGAAUUAUCUGAAAGCUUGUCACUCACUUGUCUCACGGUUGAGGCGGGCUAUUCACUGGAACCUCAGUGAGGACUAUUGGUCAGGGCACUUACACGUGGCCUCUCUAUGUGGCUACUUGGGCUUCCUCACAACAUGGUGGUUGUGUUCCAAGAGCAAGUGUUCUAAAAUGAGGUAGGCAGAAGUUGUGUCACCUUUACAACCUAGCCUUGGAAGUCAUAUUGCAUUACAUCCACCACGUCACCAACCUACCCACAUUUAUGGGGAGGGAAACAGACUUCACCUCUCUGUGGGAAGAAUGUCAAAGUCACAUUAGAAGAGCAGAUGGGAUGAAAGAUGUUACUGCGGCUGUAUUUGAAAAUACAACCUGUUACCAACUACUGUACACUCUACUGAAGGAAACAGGGCUGCCUUAUUGAUUUCAGGAGACUGCUUUAGGAAAGGUUUUCUGGGAGAAAAAAUGGAACCAAUGUCCUUAGUGCCUGUCUCGUAUCUUCUAUUCUCAGAUGAAGGACUACUAGGGGAGGUGAGGGACCCUUGUUCAGUUUGCUAAGGCAUGGUUUCUCUUAUGUUCUAGCUUCAUAAAUGAGACCAAUAAAUGGUGACUACAGCAGGAAGCAGGAUUUUCUGGCUUCUAAAAUAUAUUAUUCUUGUUAUUUUUGUAAAGGAUUUGAGGUGGUUUUUAUAUAGUGUGUAUACACUUGCACACACACAUACACACACACACACACACACACCAUACACUAAAACCACAGAAGAUAGAGGCAGAAAGUAAAAAGCAGUAACUCAUAUUAAAAUCACAUUUACUAUCUUAAAAUCACACUUAAACAGCAAUUGAAUACCAGAUUAAACUCCAAGCUUCCUGGAAGACAAGACAAAAAGGGCCAAGACUAUUUGUGAAAUCGGGGGGUCUUAAAUGCUUUUCUAUUCCCCAUGAUUUCUCUAAGUACUGAAGGCAGCAGACCAUUCCUUUUUUCCUGGUAGUUUUUAAAAGCUUCUUACUUUUUAUAAAAAAAGAUGAUAAUGGCCUGUGUUAGUGACAUUUCAAAGGAAAAAAGUAAAUUGGAGAUGCACACUUGGGGUCAUUGUCAGUCUGGGGUUGGAGCCUCCCUGUGAGAGGCAAAAUAUUCUUUAUUAUCUCGCAGCUCCACUGGACUCUUUUACAAAAUCCAUGCUAGGGCACUGGAGCAGAACCCUUCCUACCUCCUGCCCUCCAAGAACAAACAAAAAAUCAGCAGAAAACUUAAGAUGUAAAAAAAAUGUGUUUGACAUCCCAAAGGCAAUUGAGAGAAAACAAAAGACUACCCUCUCUUUCUCUUUUUCUCCCAAGAAUAAGGUGACUUCUUGGAGCUGACUUCUUUGUUUCACACUGAGCUCACAAAUGUGUCUUAAUUAUUCCACUCUUCAUUCUUUACAGUGUCUAAAUUCUCUUUAUUAUUUGAAUGGGUCCAGUUCAGCCACUGCACAAAACUGAUACAUUCAGAGUCUGAAGAAAUUAGCCAUGAAAUGAGCAUCUCUUGAAUAUUGGUUAUUGCUUUUUUUUUUGCCCAGUUACUUAAUUAUUUGUUUGAAGACUCAAAGGUCUGUGGACUCCAUUCUGAGGUCUGAGUUUAGAGGAGAACAAGGAGAGUGGUCUUCAUUCUCAGGUGCGUGACCCAGGAGUUGGCCUCCAGGUCCUGGGCUCUUUGUCCCAUGCCAGGCUGCUCCCCGGGAUAAAAGGAUUGUAUGUGGACAGCACGGAGCUCAGGUCCUAGUGCAGAAUAAAAUGCUCUGUGAGUCAUAACCAUUGUGAUUUUGUCCAUGAGGCUGAUCUGAGGACAUGACCUCUCUGCUUAAAAUGCUUCAUAGGCUCCGUUCCAAGCAUCAUAACCCAUCCUGCACCACCUGGACUCUGCACCACUUGGCCUCUGCUUACCUUUCCAGGACAUCCUUGUGCUCCCUGCUCCAGCCUCACUAAACCUCUCUCCAAUUCUAGCAGUUUCUGGGCUUUUUUCUCCCCUACAAGAGAAGCAGCCCAUGCUGUUUCUCCUGGAUUUUUCUUACUUUCGCUAGCUGUCCACCCGACUGUUUCCCAUCCUCUGCUCUCAGCUCUGGUGACCUCUGCCAUGAAAACCUUAUCCAAUCCCAGAUCUAGGUUAGGUCUGUCUAUGCAGGAGCUGCCACAGGGACUUGCUGGACCAUUCUGUGAUUCUCGUGUAUUGUGUGUUGGAAAAUGGGGAGUGCUGUUGGUGGUGCUGGCAGAAACUGGGCCCUGAGACUGAUUUCGGGCUCUUGAUGAGUAGAAGCAAAAAAUCCUGCCAUUUUAGCUGGACGUGGUGGCCUGUAGUCCCAGCUACUCAGUGGGCUGAGACAAGAGGGUUGCUUCAGUCCAAGAGUUUGAGGCUGCAGUGAGCUAUGAUCGCUCCAUUGCACUCCAGCUUAGGUGACAGUGAAAGCCUGUUUCUCAAAACAAAAACAAAAACUCCAACCCCCCUUUUCAAAGUUGUGAGCAUACUUCUGCCUCUCAGGGGUACAGAAGUAAAAUUUCCCUGGGCAAAGAUGAUGCUUUUAUUUUGAAGAGAACUCUCUUGAGAGGCUCUUUUGUUAUAAAAAUGUAAAGUUAAGAUCCUCCUCUCAUCAUUUUUUUGGGGGAAAAACUGAAGGUACCAUUAACUUGAAUGCAGAUGUUUUCUUGGAAAAGUUUUUCUGCCUGGACUUGUAUAUUGCAGGGUUCCAUUGAGUCAGAGCUAUAUGUUCUAAUAAGAUGCAUUUUUCUCACCUGGCAUGAUGUUUUGUGGCUCUGUUUGAUUAUAGAAUGGACUGAGGUGCAACCGUUGCUUGACCUGGGGAAGGUGAAUGUUCUUACUCACAGCAGUUUUCAGCAGACAAUCAAGACUAAGACAGGGUCAGAAAGGCAGCAUGGCAUAGUGAAAGAGUUGAGAAGCAGAGGAUAAGGAUCAGCUCUCCAGUUUGGGGGCCCUGUGGCCCUGCCCAAGUCACUCUCCUUUCUAACGCUCAUAUUCUCCUGUGUUCAUUGGAGGUAAUAGGACCUGCCUCCAAGAGUUGUAAAGAUGAGGUGAGACAGGCUCGGCCAAAGUGCCCCAUUGACUGUGUAGGGCUCUGCAGUGCUGUCUUCUUAUUUUCAGAUGUUUGGUACCUGCCCCUUGGUACCUGGGUACUUGCCAUCUGUACCAUAUGCUGUGUAGAGGGUAAAUGUUCAUUGACAAUAGUGAAUACUCCAGAGAAAAAUAUUAAUAAUAAAAAAGCAAUGUUUGACCCAAAUAUCCAUGAAUAAAAAAAAUACGAAUGAAUAAUAAGC
rnacentral:lncRNA from 10 species